rnacentral:rRNA from 1 species
AUUGAACGCUGGCGGCAUGCUUUACACAUGCAAGUCGAACGGCAGCGCGGGCUUCGUCCUGGCGGCGAGUGGCGAACGGGUGAGUAUUACAUCGGAACGUGCCCAGUAGUGGGGGAUAGCUCGGCGAAAGCCGGAUUAAUACCGCAUACGACCUGAUGUUGAAAGCGGGGGAUCUUCGGACCUCGCGCUAUUUGAGCGGCCGAUGGCAGAUUAGCUAGUUGGUUGGGUAAAGGCCUACCAAGGCGACGAUCUGUAGCUGGUCUGAGAGGACGACCAGCCACACUGGGACUGAGACACGGCCCAGACUCCUACGGGAGGCAGCAGUGGGGAAUUUUGGACAAUGGGCGAAAGCCUGAUCCAGCAAUGCCGCGUGUGUGAUGAAGGCCUUCGGGUUGUAAAGCACUUUUGGCGGGAACGAAAAGGACUGUGCCAAUACCACGGUUCGAUGACGGUACCCGCAGAAUAAGCACCGGCUAACUACGUG